rnacentral:rRNA from 1 species
UACGUAGGGGGCAAGCGUUGUCCGGAAUCAUUGGGCGUAAAGCGCGUGUAGGCGGUUCGAUUAGUCUGCUGUGAAAGUCCGGGGCUCAACCCCGGAAAGCCGGUGGAUACUGUCGAACUAGAGUACGGGAGAGGCGAGUGGAAUUCCUGGUGUAGCGGUGAAAUGCGCAGAUAUCAGGAGGAACACCAAUUGCGAAGGCAGCUCGCUGGAACGUCACUGACGCUGAGACGCGAAAGCGUGGGGAGCAAACAGG